ACACAGCAAGGGGGAGAGGAGAAGAAACCUAACCCUCACCAUUCCUUCCAACUACCAUAACUUCCUCAUCCGGGCUCCGAUCGCCGCACCGUUCGCGGCCACGCGCUCAGCGCGUCGAAAUUUACCUUUCUAUCUGAACAAUUUCACUAGUUCAAGUUAGCUUCCAGAACUUGUGGGCUCAAGCUAUUGAGCAUAUGGGUAUGGUGUAGGUUAAGUGGGUGUUUAUGCAUUGGAAUUGAAUUGGGAUCACUUGGAGGUUUGUUGGUGACCAAGGCUUGCUUUGGGGCUGUUUGAUUGAGCUUGGAGGGGCUGUAAUUUUGCGUUGUGAGGUUGUCUUGGGUGAAUUAAGUGAUCGGCCAAGGUAUGGUUUAAGUUUUGCACGUUUAAUAAUUACGGUUGUGUGAAAGCU